rnacentral:sRNA from 1 species
AGUAACUGCCCCAACCACUACCACGUCCCCAAGUGCAACGGGACCCACGGAACUACAGGGUCCUGCUGAGCUCAGGAGCUGCACGGAAUGGUGGCAGUCACCUUGCCAGUGCAGCAGGCAUGGAUCAGACUGCAAGCUAGGGGCACAAGGCAUCAGUUGGGAAGAGGGGACGCACAGCUAGGCUUGAGGCCUCUUCAUCGGGGUAAGUACCAGGGAGAAGGAGGGGGAGGUGCGUCCAGUAAGAAGCCUGAGCUAAACCUGUCACCCUCUCAGGAGUUCUGAGAGUGGUCUCUAUAUUCCAUUAGUCCAUCCAGGGAUUUGUAUACAUUCAUCCCUGGGAACCCAUCAAAGUCACCCCUUUAGGCAAGGAGAGGGUCUGAAACUCAGCUGGAAGGAAGAAGACUCAUUGAUUCCCCUGACCACCUUUUCUUCUCUUCUCUUACACAGAUGUCCCCAGGCCCCCCAGCCCAGGCCCAGCAUAAAGGCCGUGUUGGGGGGCCCCCCUGACCCAAGGGGGGCUUCAUGCGCCACGUGCAGGCGGAGCCUUCUCCAUCCUCAGAGC